GGUUAAUGGAGUCUUGCCUCUGUCCUUGGAGAUAAUUGGAUUACUUCCCAAUUAUCUCCAGGAUAGAGAGGAGGGAUUACAAUGUAUUGUGGGAAUGUUUUUACACUGUAUGUCUGUAAUUGGUCAGUGUCUGUCCUGUAUCCCAGUCUUCCAUCUGGUCCCCUAGGGGAGUGCCCACCAGGUGGGAGACCUGCAUAAAAGCCGGGCAGGUAGCCCCAGUAAACUGAGAUUCUGCUUAAUCCCAAAACGAAGGGUCGUCUCGUUAUUGGGGGAAUUGGAUUGUAUGCCGAUUGCCAGGAGUGUAAGCCGAUUGUAUGCUUUUCCUGUUCAGCUGUUUCCAGUGUUCGUGUGUUUCGUGUUCGGGAGUUGGAGUAUUCAUGAGUUUGGAGUCCGGGAGACUGGUGCUUGCAGUAGCUGCCUGUGCAUCUGAAAGGGGAAUAUCUUCUAAACGGUUUUUAACCUUGUGUGCAAAACGGUCCGUUACAAUUGGUGGCAAGCGGCGGGAUCAUUCCCACAGCCCAGAGGAACAGCUAUAGAGACCCCAGCGGUAGUGUGAG